AGAGUUUGAUCCUGGCUCAGAUUGAACGCUGGCGGUAUGCUUAACACAUGCAAGUCGAACGGUAACAGGCCUUCGGGCGCUGACGAGUGGCGGACGGGUGAGUAACGCGUAGGAAUCUGCCUCAUAGUGGGGGACAACUUGGGGAAACUCAAGCUAAUACCGCAUACGCCCUACGGGGGAAAGCGGGGGACCUUCGGGCCUCGCGCUAUGAGAUGAGCCUGCGUUAGAUUAGCUAGUUGGUGGGGUAAAGGCCUACCAAGGCGACGAUCUAUAGCUGGUCUGAGAGGACGAUCAGCCACACUGGGACUGAGACACGGCCCAGACCCCUACGGGAGGCAGCAGUGGGGAAUAUUGGACAAUGGGCGCAAGCCUGAUCCAGCAAUACCGCGUGUGUGAAGAAGGCCUGAGGGUUGUAAAGCACUUUCAAUUGGGAGGAAAACCUGCCGGUCAAUACCCGGCAGCUUGACAUUACCUUUAGAAGAAGCACCGGCUAACUCCGUGCCAGCAGCCGCGGUAAUACGGAGGGUGCGAGCGUUAAUCGGAAUUACUGGGCGUAAAGCGUGCGUAGGCGGUUAUUUAAGUCAGAUGUGAAAGCCCCGGGCUUAACCUGGGAACUGCAUUUGAUACUGGGUAACUAGAGUUUAGUAGAGGAGAGUGGAAUUUCAGGUGUAGCGGUGAAAUGCGUAGAGAUCUGAAGGAACACCAGUGGCGAAGGCGACUCUCUGGACUAAAACUGACGCUGAGGUACGAAAGCGUGGGUAGCAAACAGGAUUAGAUACCCUGGUAGUCCACGCCGUAAACGAUGUCAACUAGCCGUUGGGCCUUUUAACAGGCUUAGUGGCGCAGCUAACGCAUUAAGUUGACCGCCUGGGGAGUACGGCCGCAAGGUUAAAACUCAAAUGAAUUGACGGGGGCCCGCACAAGCGGUGGAGCAUGUGGUUUAAUUCGAUGC
rnacentral:rRNA from 1 species